rnacentral:rRNA from 1 species
UACGAACCGAGCGAACGUUGUUCGGAAUCACUGGGCUUAAAGGGCGCGUAGGCGGAUUCUCAAGUCCGGGGUGAAAUCCCACAGCUCAACUGUGGGACUGCCUCGGAUACUGGGGGUCUCGAGGGUGGCAGGGGUAUGCGGAACUAUCGGUGGAGCGGUGAAAUGCGUUGAUAUCGAUAGGAACUCCGGUGGCGAAGGCGGCAUACUGGUCCACUUCUGACGCUGAGGCGCGAAAGCCAGGGGAGCAAACGGG